UUAAGCGACUAAGCGUACACGGUGGAUGCCCUGGCAGUCAGAGGCGAUGAAGGACGUGCUAAUCUGCGAUAAGCGUCGGUAAGGUGAUAUGAACCGUUAU
rnacentral:rRNA from 1 species